UAAUACGUAGGGUGCAGGCGUUAAUCGGAAUUACUGGGCGUAAAGCGUGCGCAGGCGGCUCCUUAAGUCAGAUGUGAAAGCCCCGGGCUUAACCUAGGAACUGCGUUUGAAACUGGGGAGCUAGAGUGUAGAAGAGGGGGGUGGAAUUCCAGGUGUAGCGGUGAAAUGCGUAGAGAUCUGGAGGAACACCGAUGGCGAAGGCAGCCCCCUGGGCUAACACUGACGCUCAUGCACGAAAGCGUGGGGAGCAAACAG
rnacentral:rRNA from 1 species